GUGUGUUUCUCGUGGUGACGGAGUGGAGAGAUUAGUGCAUGCGUGUUCAGGGGCGAAGACCAAGCCGCGCUGGCCUGGGAGUCUGGGGACGCGCCGCGCAGCCAACAGCGUUUGUGAUGGAUGUGACUUCACCGCUGUGCACGUGUCACAGUAAGAGAUCGACGGCUGGACACUGGCGAGGCGACUUAUCAGUGUUUACAAGGCAUGACUCGGGUUUAUGAUAUCCCAGCUUGGAGUAAUCUCGCCUGCUUUCCAUUUGCUCGGCAGGAAAAAAUUGAUUACGUGAAAUUUGCGUGACCUUGAGCAUAAACCAGCCGCCGCUACCCAGGCAGGCGGCAAGGCACAGUGAUAGAGAGCAAAUGUUGUUGGGCCAGACGUCCGUGGGAGAGAGGCCCGCUGUGGAGGUGAUGGGAAGGAGAAAAAGUUUAAUGCUGUGGCGCUACUUGGUCAGGCGAGAGCCCCAGCGCAGCGGGAGUCUGGCAGUCUGUCAGAUGGCGGCAGGAGACACCAGCUCUCCCUUCCAUUCUGACGCUCCAAACUCGUGUUACUUAUUGUGUCUCGAAAAACUUGGUGUGAUCAUUAUUUUUUCUUUAUCUUUGAAUUUAUUUUCAUUUAUUUUUCGGUAAUUACUUUCAUUAAUUUACGUAUCCAUUCUGUUUUGUAUUUUUACGUUUUGUAUAUUAGGGAAUAUAUGUGGCAUGAUAUUUACGAUGUUAUGUAUAUGUGAUAAAAUUAAGA